rnacentral:rRNA from 1 species
GACGAACGCUGGCGGCAUGCUUAACACAUGCAAGUCGAACGCUGACGUUGGGUUCUUGCGCGUAGGGGUUGGGAGCCUAACGGGUGCGUAAUUCGUGAUUGACCUGCCUUUGACUCUGGGAUAAUCCUUUGGAAUUGUGUCUAAGACUCGAUACGUCAUGUCACUUCAUGGUGGUCUGUUUAAAUUGCUUUACUGGUUUUGGAUGGGCUCACGGCCUAUGAGCUUGUUGGUGGGUUAAUGGCGCAACAAAGCGACGACGGGCAGCUGGCCUGAGAGGGUGACAGGCCACACUGGGCCUGAGACACGGCACAGAAUCGUAAGCGAGGCAGCAGUGGGGAAUAUUAUACAAGGGGCGGAGGCAUGAUGCAGUGACGACGAGUGAGGGAUGAAGGCCUUCCGGUUGUAAACCUAUUUCAUCACGGAAGAAGGGAAAGUGACGGUACGUGAAGAAGAAGCGCCGGCUAACUACGUG